GGGUAAGUUUGUUUUUUCAUUCUCAAUAAUAUCUUCCUAUGUGGCAGUGUCCCAUCCACAAUUAGUGUUUUCUACAACACUUUCUAGAAUCAUUGUUUGCACCAACCUACUGAGCUUUGUAGUGCAUCUUCAUUCAAGUUUGCAAUCUUCUUCUUUUCUUCUUUCCUUUUCUUUGCUUUUCUGAAAUUUCUUUAUACUUUCCAAUUUCUUCCUCUUCUCUUCUCUUAUCUUACUUCACCACUGACAGAUCUUUAAUUUCUUUAUAGAUCUUCUUCAUACACUGCAGCCCACAAUUAUUGUAGUGUAUGUUGUAACCCACACAAUCCACCCAAAUCCAACUGGGUCUCUUUUCUUUGUUACCAUCGAAGUGGUAAUUUGGAAUUCUAGUGUUAAAUUGGGGAUUUUGAACCAUUUCUACUUGUUUUGAAGCAACAGGUAGGAUAUUCAAUUCAUAUAGGCGGGCUGAUGUGAUUGGACGUGGAAGAACUAUCUGUUGAUUAUAUUAUAUUACAAUUUGGGCAUCUCCGCUGAUUCCAUUUCAUAUGGGGAGGACAGAGAACAUCAGCUCACCUCCCCAGAACAUCAGCUCAAUGAUGGAAGAUCAUUUUGGGCGUCAACUAAAGGUUUUCAGCCUGGACAAGUAUUAUUGGUUCAUCCCCACUUACUCAGAAGAAGAUUUAAGAAGUAUACUCUUCAUGGUCUUGAAUACCUGUUAAAUCCUGAACUCGAGUCCUAAGAAUUGUAGGGGUCAUCAAGUACAUUACCAAGUUCAUAGGUGCAUGCUAACAACCACCAAUUUUUUGUGUUGUUAUGGAGUAUCUGUCAGAGGGUUUUUUGAGAGCAUACCUCCACAAGCUUGAUCAUAAAUCCCUAGCCCUGAAAAUUGAUGGCACUUUCCAUGUAUAUUGCUCAUGGAAUGGAAUAUAUUCAUUCGCAUGGCAUUAUUCAUCGGGACCUCAAACCAGAGAAUAUUCUUAUCAAUGAGGAUUUUCACCUGAAAAUUGCUUGUGAGGAGGCAUACUGUGAUCUCCUGGUUGAUGGCCCAGGAACUUACCGUUGGAUGGCACUAGAGAUGAUCAAGAGAAAAUCAUACGGCAAAAAAGUUGACAUAUAUGGCUUUGGACUUAUUCUAUGGGAAAUGGUGGCUGAAACCAUUCCUUAUGAAGAUGUGACACCAGUACAUGCUGCUUUUGCUGUUGUAAACAAGUAUUAUCUAACAUUUGGUACCUUCUUAUUCAUAUAUUUCUGAAACUCUUGUAAUAUUUUGUUAUUUAUGGACUUUAUAUUCAGUUAUGAAACACAUACUUGUGGAUAGUGGAAUAAAUAACUUUGAUCUCUA